rnacentral:rRNA from 1 species
UCUCGUGAUGAUGGCAUAGAGGUAACACUCCUUCCCAU